GCCUGAUUUCCUGAUUUCAGCGUGUUUCAGUUCAGAUUCUGACAGAGAGAAAGAUGAGAACAGACGAAGAGCAGAAGGAGCUUACAGAGCACAGGUCCGGCUGGAGCUCCGUCUGGUGGCCGUCCUGGUGUCCAACAUCACCAACACACCUGAGCAGAGCAGAGGACAAGAUACUGUCAGCUCUCUCCAUCAGCUUCUCUCGAGGGUUCGUCUCGGUCUCCAGCGGUCAGCAGAUCCGGACUCUGGUCUUCAAUGGGGAGGGG